GUUUAGAGUGAAACACCCGGAAGUAGCCAAGGAAAUCUGUGCUUCCAGUGUAAUAUGAGUACUCUGGGCUUCACGUUUGGAAGGUUGGAGGAAUAUUUAUGGUCCUCAAAAUAUUAAUGAUCAUUUCGCGGUCUGAAGCUUGCUGUUUCCUCCGGGGUCUGAGGGAGCCGGCGCGACCCGCGGCUGAGCCCCGCCCACCAUGCCGCUGGUGGUGGACGCCGUGUGGGCGCUGUGGAGCAUCACAGCCGGCAUCUACGACUACUUCCACACCAGCGCAAUGGAGGAGCGGAUCCACACUCUGGAGCACGUCCUGUCCAUCCAUCAGUUGGUGAUCGCCGGCCUGUCGGCGGGCCUCAUCCUGCUCAUGGCCUACAUCCUGCUGAGGAAACACUGACCUGCAUGGCGGUCAGACCGGCGUCCAGGUUAAAGUUUGAGUCCCAAACGAAGGGAAAGUCCAGCAGUAGCUCCUUCCACAGGCCCAGUUCAGUCCAGUUUUAAUGUUCAUCUGCUGCUCUAAUCAGCACUUUACCUGUUUGACAAGCUUGAACGUCCUGGAAUUGUUAUUUAUUCAUCCGUGUUUUAAAGCUUUACUCUGAAAGGUUUGACUGGUUCACUGGGCCGUCCGUCUCAGGUACUGGUUUUAAACCGUUUCAGUAAAGCCCCACAGCUGUCUGUGCUUCUGAUGGUUUGUCCACAAACUAAAAUGCAUAAAAACACUGACUACAGAGAUCUUUCUUCAUCGGUUUUUCUCUAUUUAUUUAUGAAUUCUUGUGUGUUUAGAGUUUUUCAAAGGUUUUAUAAAAAAAGGGAGACGCUGUGUUGUUUACGUCUCGUUACGCCAUCGCUGCUGUUUGUUAUCACUGCUCCGUUUGCUCUAAUAUCUGUUUGAUCAAUUAAAACCAUGAAAUCAACGGAAAAAUAUUGACUAAUAAAUAUAAGUGUAAUUUAA